rnacentral:tRNA from 1 species
GGGCAGGUAGCUCAGCCAGGUUGGAGCGCCAGUCUUAUAAACUGGUGGUCGAGAGUUCAAAUCUCUCCCUGCCCACCA